GUGGACGUGCCGGAGUGGUUAUCGGGCAUGACUCGAAAUCAUGUGGGCUUUGCCCGCGCAGGUUCAAAUCCUGCCGUCCACG
rnacentral:tRNA from 1 species